rnacentral:rRNA from 1 species
ACGCACCUACGGGAGGCAGCAGUGGGGGAUAUUGCACAAUGGGGGGAACCCUGAUGCAGCGACGCCGCGUGGGUGAAGGAGCGUUUCGGCGCGUAAAGCCCUAUCGGCAGGGAAGAAGAUGACGGUACCUGACCAAGAAGCCCCGGCUAACUACGUGCCAGCAGCCGCGGUAAUACGUAGGGGGCAAGCGUUAUCCGGAUUUACUGGGUGUAAAGGGGGCGCAGACGGCAGUGCAAGCCAGGAGUGAAAGCCCGGGGCCCAACCCCGGGACUGCUCUUGGAACUGCGUGGCUAGAGUGCAGGAGG